AGAGUGGAAAAUUCCACUGGGGCUCAGGCUGUGAGAAACAUCCUGCCGGGCAAGUCCUAAGCCUAACCGCCUGAUCUCAGGAAAUUCCUCACUUAGCAACAGCUAACCACACUGCCCACCCCACUUCACAACAAGCCCAGAUCUCUCCCACCCGGACCUAAACUUACCCAGUCUGUAAGCGGGGGCGGGCUCUGGCGCUAGUUGGUGUCCCCCCUCCGCGGGUGUUUGUUCGAUAAACCUGUGUUGCUGUAGAGCCGCCUCCGUCCGUUUUUUCUCCCGUUCCUGCUCUAGCAAUGACAUUAUACCAAAUGUAACUGAUAUACUAAUACAUGCUGCUGUAACAAGGAGUCCUCAUUUAAGUUACUGUGUCCAAAAUGAGUUUCCAGCGGUCCUCCAUCUUGAUACGUGCUUCAGUAUCACUUACACAGAAAGGGUGGACACGAGCUCCUAAAAAGGAGUGUGAGUGAAGACAGUGGUCUGCCUGCUGCCAAUUUUAAUGAAAAAGAAACCUCAAAAAAGUAAAAUAAAACCAAGAUAGAAAUUGUGCCUCAUAAUUGAUAUUUUGAGGAUUACAUGAAGUAAUAAAUUUAUUAUGUGCUAAGAAAUCUGUGCCUGUCCCUAGGUAGCAAACUGCAACUUAACUUCAUAUGAAAACAAUCUACAACUGUAACAUAUUCUGUAACAAAUAACUGAGACUCAGUUAAUCAUAGUAGCUGGGCUUUAACCAGUCAUGGGCUGACAACUGAUCAGACCAUGUGUCUGUAUAAGGCAAGUGCUUCAUCACACCAUGCCUGAAUCAGGAAUAUAGAGAUAAGGAGAAGUUUUUCAUGGGUCACAAGCUCUUGGAAUGCAGAAAUGUUUGCAAGGCAGAAAGACAUUUAUUAUAUAUAUCCAAGGAGUCAACACAUAUUAAAAUAUGUGUUCUGAAUUACUAUAUUAUGAGGCUCCUCAGGCAAAAAGCAAUGGAGAAUCUCUUCCUAUUUUCCUCAUUUUAUCUUUUUUUUCCUAAUGAGCUUACAGUUUCUUAAUGCUGUGUACCAGUUCUUAUUACUUUAAAUUAUCCAAUUCAGAAGAAAGGAAAGAGGGAGAGCGAGAAGAAGAAAGGGAAAGAGGGGAAAAGAAAAGAAAGGAAGGAGAAAGGAAGAAUUACAUCUUUGUUUAAUGUGAAGUGCAUGCUGUUUUUGGUAAUAUAAUUCCCCCUCUAUGAAAAAACUAACUUCUUCACUGUGAGUACUUAAUUCUGACUGUAUAGAUUUGAAAAGAAUAAUAGAAUUAUUAAUGCUGGAGAAGAAAAUUAAAGAUUAUUUGCUCUGGCCUUCGUAUUUUACUCGGAAUAUUUUAAUAACUUGUCUAAGACAGCUAGCACGGCUGACUAAUAUUCAAGUGAGAAAUAAACCUUCAAACCCUACACCUUUAGAUUCCUAGGCCAGGUUUCUUUCUGUUAUUUAAUCCAAUCAUCUUUAAAUCUUCACAACUUUAAGCAACAUACCUGGUCUCACAUACUCAGAAUGAUCACAAUAUACUGAGGUUUUAUGAUUAAUCUUGUUGCCAUAUCUCCUUCUUAUGUGAAAAGGCAAAUUCCAAUUUAUAAAUUUUUAAUUCAUCACUUUCAUAGAAGUGAUAACUAACUUUGCUAUCAUCUUUGGGACUAUGUCAUUUGCUUAAGAAUCAUGUUUCUGUGUGUGAAAGGCACUGAAUUUAUUCUGAAGUUGCAUCUUUUAGUGCAUGGAUGCUAAUUACCCGUGACAUACAAAUUAGUGAUUCGUGAUCAUUAGCAAUAACCUUAAAUAUGUAAUACAUAAUGAUUCUGUUGCAGUCAUUUUUAUGGCUAUGUUGAGAAAACAUAAUUUAUCUGUAACAUUUUACUGACUUUAAAACACGUAUUAUAUAUAAAGUAUAUUUUUUAAUAUAGAGGCAAAAUGAAUAUAAAAUUGUUUAACUUCUAGAAUUUAUUUUUGAGUUAGAAACAUUAUAUAAAUAAUUAUAUUUAUUCAUUUCAAGGAAAGAGACAUACCUCUUAUUAUAGAAGAAAUACCAAGUAAUUUUAAGAAUAUUAUUUUCUUUUUUACUGUUUUGCUGUUUCUUAUCAUUUUUAGUCUACACUUACAAAUGUUUGGGCUCAUAAUCUGCUCUAAAUAUAUGCUAGAAGACAAAGCUGAAGGCUGGCCCCUAGGUAGAAUACAAUCUUUCUGUAUAUGAUGCAUUAAAUAUAUUUAUACCUGUUAUUAUGUCCUAUGUAAAUGAUUAGCUAGUUACUUCAUUGAUUAACUAUUAUAGCUAGUUACUUAAUAUCAUUUAUUAAUCAAGAAAACACAAAGGAGACAAAAAUGACCAUAGAUACCAUGUCUAUACCAUGUCUCUGACUUAAGUAAUCACACAUUUUAGAAGAGAAGACAGAUUAUUAAACAGAUAAUUGCACUGUGAAUUUGAUACUGCAAUGCAAUAUGAGCAACUGCUAUGGAAUUACAGAAGACAGGGUAGCUUUGUGUGCUCAAUUUAAUCAGAUAUACUUUAUCACAAACAUAUUUGAACUUCAUCUGGGUGGUUAGAUAAGGUUUGCAAGAUGGGUAGGUGUUAGAAAAUCAUAUAUCUGUAGAUAGAAAGAGAGAAAGAAGAAAAGAAAGAAAGAAAAAUGUCAACAGCAUGAAGGGACUGAAAUGAUGGUGAGGAAUGUCAAGACUGAAGGAAAGGGCAGGAGGAAAUGGGAAAGAGUACAAAUAAGUUGGGAAAGCAAGUUUCAACAAGAUUUUGAAGGCCCUUUUUGUG